GCGGCUUCCAGCUGCGCACGGGGCUCCGUCUGCGCCUCCGUCUGUCCAGCUCUGUCUCCAGGGAGAGACUGAACACAUGUGAAGAUCUUUCUGGCCUCAACUGGCUUUUCUUUCUUUUACUCUGAGCACUAAUGGUGAGGAGUCCGGUGACCACAGGUACGGUCUGGUGCCACUACCGUGAUCUGGGCUCAGGCGCCAGCAGUCGUAUCCACCUUUGAUUGUGCACCGUCAGUGCGAACGUCAGCGCAGUGAAGGGACUAGGAACCGCCCAGUCCUGCUAUGAAACGCUUGUCCCUCCACGCGCCCUGGAGAGGUCUGUGGACCCCCAGUGCCUGGAGACUCCACUGUGGUCACUCUGAGGACCGGGGCUGGGGGGUGGCCAGCAACCGUGCCGUUUGCCCCUAGCGCUGCCUUCCCGUCCGUUUGAGUAUUACCUGUUCUUUGCGUUGAGCCUCAUCACUCAGAAGCCACUCCCCGGAGCCCUGCACGUUCGUCCUUCAGACUGUGUCUAUUUCAUCCUGGUGGACAGGUACCUCUCAUGGUUCCUGCCCACAGAAGGCAAUGUGCUCCCCCUACUCUCCUCCAGUCCGGGGGCCCCCAGCCCCUCACCAGCUCCCAGGCCAAAUAGCAUUCCAUGGCGUGUAGACCCCACCUUUUCCUUAUCCAGUCUCCUGUCAACGAGCGUUAAGCUGUCUCCGUGUCUUGGCUUUUGUGAAGGAUGCUGCAGUCACACGGGGCAGAGAUCUCUCCGAGAGGCUCCUUUCGAUUUUUUGGACAUGUACCCACAAGUGGGGUUGCUGGGUCGUGCUAAGUGAAAUGGACCAGUCACCGAAGGACCAGUACUGUGUGAUUCCGCUCAGGGGCUGCUCUGCACCUGCCAGCACGGCUCCCGUCUCUGAUUCCGAGAGUCCUGGUGUGGACAAGACAGAGAGGUCAUCUGGUCAGUCCUUCUCACUUUCCCGAAGGUGAGUGGAGACCGGAGUGUUAACCAGGCUCAUUGACAUCAUGGUGAUGAUAUUAACUCCCACAGCUGUGACUUGUGGAGCACUUCAUGUGUGCCAGUUUCUUUAUACAGAUCAGCUCUUGAAACCCCACAGGCCCCUGGGACAUUAGUUCCCAUCCUCCACACAAGGAAAUCGAGUCUCAUAGAGGUGAUAUGACCUGCCUAGAGUCACACAGCACAGAAGUGGACGAGAUGUAAUUUGAACCAGGUUCCUGGAUUCCAAAUGCCAGAGAUAUGACCGCCACACUGUCGCACUGCCCAAGGCAGGUGCUGUUUAUUGAGUCCUACUAUGUGCUUGGGACUGGGCGAGGCUGGGAGAUACAGAGAUGAGAAGGCAGACCAUUCUGUGGUGUUUUUCAUGUGUCCUCUCCCCUGGGAACCUGGGAGCCAUGUAUCUCCAACACCUCGCACAGAGCUUGGCCCACAGCAGGGCUUCAGUGAAUGUUGGCUGAAGAAUGAAUGAACUGCUGCAAAUGAUAGAAGAAUAAGCAUAUUUUGUGAUUUCUCUGGGGUCUGUCCCCUUGACACUGUGUUCCCAGCACCUGGCACCAUGCCUGGUAGUGGCUCCGUAGGGAGACCAACUGGACCCUGACUCAGGCUUGGACUCCUGCCGAGUGGGUGUUCCUGCACAGCCACAGCACUUCUUGAAGCCUCAGUGUCCUCAUCUGCUCAGUGGGGAUAAUAAUUGCAUCUACUUCAGAGGAUCAGGGAGAUCGCCCAAGUGAAUGCCUGUGUGACAGCACAGGGCCCUCCCAGGAAAAGGCGUCCACUACUGAGCAGUCUCUCUUCUACCUAUCCUGUACCGCUUGGGCAACUGGGUGUGCGGCCAGAGAUGUAAGGAGAACUCUGAAGGGUCCCUGGGCCCAGGGAGGGAACCCCAGGAAGGAAACACUUGUAGGGGCCCCUCCCCAAGGACGGACUUCAGCCCUCCCAGGAGAGGGUGUGGUUGCAGAGAAGGUCUGCAGGUUCCCGGGCCAGACCUGGUGCACAGUCUCUGGGCUGCAGGUGGCACCCCUGCAGGGAGCAGGUGAGAUGCAGCUGAUGCGGGGUGCACAGGAGGGGCUGGGGCGCCACUGUGGAUGGGAGGCCUGGAGCCUGUGGUGUUCUUGGGAGGGCUGGGGCAGGUGUCACCAGGCCAUGUGGGGGCUGUGAGGUUGCCCAGGGACCAUGCAUUCUGUGUGUGGGGCUGGGGCAGAGCCAGCUGGGAAGAGAGUGGCCUGUCUGCAGAUGUGGCCCCUGGGGUUGGGGGUGUCUGCAGUCACAGAGCCUUUCCAUGCAGGGUCUCACGAACCUGUGCCCUGAUCUGCACCUGCAGUGACUCCACCUGAUCCUGCCCCCCACACACCUGGAACUUGCCCUUGGCUCCAGAAUCAAAUCCAGACUCCUCCCUGGGUCUGUGGGGUCCCGGCCCACCUCCCUAUCUGACCUCCUCUCCCACGGCCGCCCCUCUUCACUCAGGCGCCUUUUGCUUUCCUCCUUUGAGACUUGUCCUUUCUCACCUCAGGGCCUGUGCCCUCCCUGCUCCCCCUCCUGGCAGCUCUCCCCAUCUCCAGCCGGAUCACAAGUUCCUCCUUUGCCAUCCCCUGCACCUCAGAUUCCUGGGCUCAGCUCCCUCGCAGCACCACCCUCCCUCAGAACCCACGUCCAGCCGCUGCUCCACACCGAGCUGCUCAAGCCUUUGCCUGCUGCCUGGACCCCCACUCUCUGUAGACCCAGAGGAGGGACCAAGGUUCUCUUGCUCACUGCUGGGUCCCCAGUUCCGACGCCAGCACUGUCACAAACAGAUGUUCGAGAAAGAUGCUUUAACUUCAUCUUCUUUCAAAUAAACUCUUUGUUUUGGAGUAACUUUAGAAUUAUGGAAAAGUUGCAAAGACAGUACAAGGAGCUUCUGUGUCCCCUCACCCAGUCUCUGUUAUGAGCACCUCAUGUCACCAUAUACAUCUGUCACAACUCAGAGACUCACGUGGGUCCUUUUCCAUCAGCUCAACUCCAGACCUCAUUGUACCAGCUGUUCCAUUUCCUUUUCCUUUGCAGGAUCCAGCCCAGGGCGCCACACUGUUUAGUUGUCAUGCUACCGCGGGUCCUCUGGUCUGGACAGUUUCUCCUUCCUUCCUUGUUUUUCCUCACCUCUACAGUUUUG
rnacentral:lncRNA from 1 species